rnacentral:rRNA from 1 species
GAUGAACGCUAGCGGCAGGCUUAAUACAUGCAAGUCGAGGGGCAGCAGGUCCCGCAGCAAUGCGGGAUGCUGGCGACCGGCAAACGGGUGCGGAACACGUACAGAACCUUCCUUUAAGUGGGGAAUAGCCCGGGGAAACCCGGAUUAAUACCCCGUAACAUAAUGAAGUGGCAUCACUUUAUUAUUAUAGCAGCAAUGCGCUUGAAGAUGGCUGUGCGGCUGAUUAGGUAGUUGGCGGGGUGACGGCCCACCAAGCCUACGAUCAGUAACUGGUGUGAAGGCACGCCCAGUCAAACGGGCACGGGGACACGGGCCCGACUCCUACGGGAGGCAGCAGGAAGAAAUAUUGGGCAAUGGACGCAAGUCUGACCCAGCCAUGCCGCGUGGAGGAUGAAGGUCCUCUGGAUUGUAAACUUCUUUUAUCUGGGAAGAAAUCUAUUUUUUCUAAAGUAGUUGACGGUACCAGAUGAAUAAGCACCGGCUAACUCCGUGCCAGCCGCCGCCGUAA